UACGGGGGGGGUAAGCGUUGUUCGGAAUUACUGGGCGUAAAGGGCUCGUAGGCGGCCAACUAAGUCAGACGUGAAAUCCCUCAGCUUAACUGGGGAACUGCGUCUGAUACUGGAUGGCUUGGAUUCGGGAGAGGGAUGCAGAAUUCCAGGUGUAGCGGUGAAAUGCGUAGAUAUCUGGAGGAAUACCGGUGGCGAAGGCGGCAUCCUGGACCGACAUUGACGCUGAGGAGCGAAAGCGUGGGGAGCGAACAGG
rnacentral:rRNA from 1 species